rnacentral:rRNA from 1 species
UACGUAGGGGGCAAGCGUUGUCCGGAUUUAUUGGGCGUAAAGAGCGUGUAGGCGGCCACACAGGUCUGCUGUGAAAACUCGAGGCUCAACCUCGAGCUGUCGGUGGAAACCGUGUGGCUAGAGUCCGGAAGAGGAGAGUGGAAUUCCCGGUGUAGCGGUGAAAUGCGCCGAUAUCGGGAAGAACACCCGUGGCGAAGGCGGCUCUCUGGGACGGUACUGACGCUGAGACGCGAAAGCGUGGGGAGCGAACAGG